rnacentral:lncRNA from 1 species
AAAGGGGAUAUGAUCUAAUGGUACAAAGCUGGGGGAACUUAGGAAGGCCUGUUUGUUCAGAUUCUUUUUGACAUCUCUGUAUCUCCAUUCCUUUCUGCCAGGUGUGGGGCAGGACAUCUGCCAUAUGAGGGUCGUAUGACCUACUCUCAGGAGAGGUAGGUAAGAGAAUUCUUUCAUGGCUGGCCCUCUCUUCUUAGAAAGGCAGAAGAAGAUCAGAGAAUUAACUUCUUACCUCUGUGAUUUUCUCCAUUUCCAAGGUGCUGUGUUUUGGAGUAGUGUGUCCUGUACCUGUCACCUUUAACAAACAAUUACUGAGCACAUACUGGGUGCCAGAUACUCUGCCAGGCUCUGAGAGGACAGAAAUGCAUAACACACAAUUCCUGCUCUCCAGGAGGCCUUUCAAGAAGAAGAGAGUAGAAAAAAUUCACACAUUGCCCCCAUCCCAAAAUGACAUCAAUCUGAAGAAAGGAAAAGAAAAAGCUGAGUUCAAGACAGCCAAAUGAAUUUUCCAGAAAGACCACAGCUGGCUUGUCAGGACCCAGGAGAAGAAUCCUAUGUUUUGAUGGACAUGAGAACAGACAAACUUGAAGAAUUGGGAGAGCAGGAGGCCCUGCCAGAGGAAGGCCUGUCUAAAUCCACAUACCAGUGCAGGCUGUCUUCGGCUGUCCUACGCGCUAAGGGACAUAACUCAGCACAACUAAUCCCGUGAUACGUCAGCCACUGCAUCCAUAAACCAGUGACCACUUCUGAAGCAGUAAAAGUUAUUUUGCUGCAAAUCUAUCUCCAGGAUCCUAAAUGUGUUUAAUUGGGGUGAGCCAUUAACUGAAUUAAAUGAGACAUACGUUUACCAGCAGGUGGCAAUAGAGGUAAUGGUGUCUCCCAAAACGUUAAACUUGCAUUAUUUUAUAUGCCAGAAAUGGGAACCUUCAAAACUUGAUUGGGUCCCAACUUAACUUCACUCUAUCUUAUAUUUGCUUUCGGAGAUGAAAUUAUUCAAGCCAAGAUAUUGUAAUCAGAAACAUAAAUUUUUAUUUUAUUAAGCUGAUAUUGUGCUUCAUUUCCUAAG